rnacentral:rRNA from 1 species
CCUACGGGGGGCAGCAGUGGGGAAUAUUGGACAAUGUGGGCAACCCUGAUCCAGCCAUGCCGCGUGUGUGAAGAAGGCCCUCGGGUUGUAAAGCACUUUCAGUGAGGAAGAACGCCUGGUGGUUAAUACCCAUCAGGAAAGACAUCACUCACAGAAGAAGCACCGGCUAACUCCGUGCCAGCAGCCGCGGUAAUACGGAGGGUGCGAGCGUUAAUCGGAAUUACUGGGCGUAAAGCGCGCGUAGGUGGCUUGAUAAGCCGGUUGUGAAAGCCCCGGGCUCAACCUGGGAACGGCAUCCGGAACUGUCAAGCUAGAGUGCAGGAGAGGAAGGUAGAAUUCCCGGUGUAGCGGUGAAAUGCGUAGAGAUCGGGAGGAAUACCAGUGGCGAAGGCGGCCUUCUGGACUGACACUGACACUGAGGUGCGAAAGCGUGGGUAGCAAACAGGAUUAGAUACCCUAGUAGUC